rnacentral:rRNA from 1 species
UGGGGAAUAUUGGACAAUGGGCGAAAGCCUGAUCCAGCCAUGCCGCGUGUGUGAAGAAGGUCUUCGGAUUGUAAAGCACUUUAAGUUGGGAGGAAGGGCAUUAACCUAAUACGUUAGUGUUUUGACGUUACCGGCAGAAUAAGCACCGGCUAACUCUGUGCCAGCAGCCGCGGUAAUACAGAGGGUGCAAGCGUUAAUCGGAAUUACUGGGCGUAAAGCGCGCGUAGGUGGUUUGUUAAGUUGGAUGUGAAAUCCCCGGGCUCAACCUGGGAACUGCAUUCAAAACUGACUGACUAGAGUAUGGUAGAGGGUGGUGGAAUUUCCUGUGUAGCGGUGAAAUGCGUAGAUAUAGGAAGGAACACCAGUGGCGAAGGCGACCACCUGGACUAAUACUGACACUGAGGUGCGAAAGCGUGGGGAGCAAACA